rnacentral:lncRNA from 1 species
GACUGAAGGCUUGGCCGCUCCGCCUCACUGAGCCGGCUCAGCCAGCGCAGCUGUUCCUGGAACGCCAGUCCCUUAGGAUGGGAGAGAGCGGAGAAGGCAAAGAGGAACAGACUGGGAAAGAGACUGGAUAGAUUCUAAUAUGGUGAAAACAUCAGAAGCAGUUCAGGGACUAGGAAGUGGGAACUCUAGAGAUGACAGACAUUCUGCUGGGUGGUUUUUAAAGUUUCUUCCAGAGUCAUCUGCCUCAUUAACAACAAUUUUUGUGGAAGAAGUCUGUCUUUGAUUUUAUGAACUCACGUGACUCCUUGGUCUGUUACGAAUGCACAAUGCUCCAGUCCUUCAAUAAGCCCAUUACAUACUUUCACCAUGUCAUCUAUAGGUGCUUUUUCUCCAGUGU